UACGUAGGGAGCAAGCGUUGUCCGGAAUCAUUGGGCGUAAAGCGCGCGUAGGUGGCUCUAUAAGUCCGUUGUGAAAGUCAAAGGCUCAACCUUUGAAAGCCGAUGGAUACUGUAGAGCUAGAGUCCGGAAGAGGCGAGUGGAAUUCCUGGUGUAGCGGUGAAAUGCGCAGAUAUCAGGAGGAACACCGAUGGCGAAGGCAGGUCUCUGGGCAUUAACUGACGCUGAGGAGCGAAAGCAUGGGGAGCGAACAGG
rnacentral:rRNA from 1 species